GUGAGCUAAUUAGAUAACUUCACACAAUGAAGCAUUUGUUAACCUUACUAUGCCUGAUUUUUAUAUUUUCAGGCGCUCAAUCCAGCAUUACGCUGACUCAGCCCAGCAGUGUAUUUGCUAAGCCAGGUGAAAGCAUCAAGCUCUCCUGCCAGAUGUCUGGGUUUACAAUCCAAAGCUGGUGGAAAAGCUGGAUCCGACAACCAUCUGGUAAAGGGCUGGAAUGGCUAGCCAGCUAUUAUGAUGAAAGUAACUCCAAGUACUAUUCCUCCACUAUCAAUGGACGUUCAGUUGCUUCAAUGGAUAUUUCCAGCAGCACAUUCUUCCUACAAAUAAACAAUCUUCAGACACAGGAUUCUGCGGUGUAUUAUUGUGCCCGAGACUCACAGUGA